UUUCCUUUCAUCGCUUAAUUUUUUUUAAAGUUAUAUAUUAAGGAGAGGUUAAAAUAUCUUUAGAUAGCUAACUUUUAUGACUUUGCACUGCUCUGGAACCAUAUUAGUGACCUUGAAUUUUAUUCCUAAAUGUGUGUGUGUGUGUGUGUGUGUGUGUGUGUUCAAAUGAUAUAGAACGUAGUACAGCUUUUUUCCCAGAUAUUUCAAUAGUCCUGGUUUCUGUUGUCAUGAUAAAAUAUGGUUUCAGGAAGCAGCUUAGGGGAGAAAGGCUUUCUUUACCAGCCCAGGUUACCGUCCAUCAUCUGGAGGGAAAGGGAAGUCAAGGGAGGACCAUGGAGUUGCUAACUCUAUCUAACAAACUCCAGGACCCAAAGCCCAAGGCUGUCACCCACAGUGGACUGGACCUUCCCAGGUAGUUAAGGACAAUUCCUGCAAGCAUGCCCUUGGGCCAAUCUGAUGGGAACAACUCCUCACUAGAAUCCCCUCUUAAGUCUUUCUACAUUGUGUGGAAUUAGCGGUUAAAAUAUGUGCCCUACUUGUAAAUCUUGUUAGCAGCCACUGGGACCUCCCCAGGGCUUCCCCUCCGCUCCUUGGUCUUCACAGAAGGCACAGAGAACAUGGAGUAAGGAUAGGUAGGAUUUAUUUCAGAGUAAAAUAAAAUAUCAGCAAGAGCUGAUAGGGGACAAUGGACGAAGAGGCCACUGCACCAGGAGGCAGACUUUAUGCUGUUUCUAAAAUCUUGGGGAGAGCAUCCCAUGGAGAACGUUUUCCUGUCCAGGUGAUUGACAGACUCAUUUAGAGGAGCUCUUCUAAGGCAGGGGACAAUGACAUGUUGCUCUUCUUCUUCGACAGAAAGCCUUUCAUCAAAUAGUAAUCCUUUUAUGUAAGGCUUAGAUAGUUAUCUGUUAAUGGACCCGCCAAGGUCAGAGACUAGGCCCAGGUUUGUUCUUUUGACCCGUGAUCAGAGUCCUGUAAUUUCAAUUCUUGGCUAUACCAGCUGCUGCCUACAGAGGAGGAAGCCAUUCCCAAUAACCUUCGAGGCCGUGAAUUAGACACCUGACCGACAUUCCUCAGAGACAGAAACAGUUCCGCAAGCCAGGGUGCACACCCAGAGCUCCUGCGUCGUCGGAACCCCUUGCCGCCUCUGGUCAUCUGUAGAGCUUUUGUUCUGAUGAGCGCAGUUGUAACCUGCUCGCAACUCGUUCCGUUUACCGUCAGGUCAGCUUGUGUGGACCAUCAUGCCAAACCCACUGAGUAUCUCUCCACUUUGUGUGAGUGAAUUUGUUGUUUUGUACACUUUAUUUUGUCCUCCAAAUAAACCAACCAGUGAGACCAUUUUGCUGGAACAUUAAGCUCCUGUCACGAGUAGAGUAAAUUUACAUAUAUCUACUGCCCUCCCCCCUUCAAUUCUGCUCAGUAUUGAAGAGAGCUGAGGCACCUCUAGCCCAGUUCAUCGGCAAAGGUGAGAAGAAUCCUCCAGGAGAACUCUGAAUAGUAACACCCAUAUAACUCAGCCUUCUCUCAUCCCCUCAUCCUACCGGGUUCUAAACAAAAGAAACUUUCAUUUUUAUUUUAAAAAAAAGUAUUUUUAAAGUUUGCUUACAGGGGGUUGGAGAGAUGGCUCAAUGGUCACAUGCAGAACACUGACUGCUCUUCCAGACGUCCUGAGUUCAAUUCCCAGCACCCACAUGGUGCCUCACAAGCAUCCAUAAUGGGAUCCGAUGCCCUCUUCUGGUGUGUCUGAAGACUGCGACGGUGUACUCACAUACAUUAAAAAACGCCUACAGGCUGGUGAUAUUUCUUAGUGGGUAGAGGCACCUGCCACCAGUUCUUGGCAUCCACCUGGUAUGAAGAAAUAACUGAUUCCCUCAAACUGAUUUGAGCACUGCCAUGAGCUCCCCCAAAAGUCAAUAAAUGAAUGAGUA
ensembl:lncRNA